AUUCGCUACCUAUCCCAGACUCAGGGCUUUCCGGGGGAGUAGCUGCUGAGUACGAGUACACAAAGACCAGGCCCUUCGACAGAAGGCCUGGCUCUAGCUAGCCUCUCUGGAGACUAAAGGCAUGUGCAGCAUGUUCCUGCCUAGCUGUGAUAUGCUGUGCUUUAUUUUAGCUUCACGCCUGUAUCUAUCCCCAGAAAUCUCACACACAACUCUUGUGUCUUCUUUCUUUACUCAGAGAUAGAAUGUGAGGCUGAGAUUAGUACCCAGUCCAUGGAGUCUCAUCAGUACAUCGUCAGCUGCCUGGAUGACAUGAUGCAGGUGUUUCAUUUCCAUUGUCGUCUCACGAAUUUGUUCCUGACGGUGGACGUUCAGAACAACCUGGAGUGACCUGAUGGUACUUCUUCUGAGUGCCAUGUCCUGCUUUCAAAACGUGGAGAUUUGCAAUUUGGUGGUGCAGCUCCUUUGAUUGCAAGAAUAAUCUGGUGGGCACUCUGGUGUGAAUGCUGCAACAGGGCAGGGCAUCACUUGAGCAGCUCUCACAGCAGAGUUCAGUCCAGCGGAGGCAGGAGGACCAAGGCCAGAUACACCAAUAGCCACGCUAGAUGCACACACCCACCAAGAAAUCCAAAUCCUCUCUGUGUUGGUUGGAAGCAGUACAUCAGUGGACAUCAUACCAACUCUACACUUCAUUCACCAACAACCAAGCACCAGAAUGGAAAACAAAACCAUAACCAUAGCUGAAAUAUUAGCUAAACCAAGAAAUCGUCAACAGGUAAACAUCAAAGUGAAAAUUCAAGACAUCCGAGAAAACACCACCCGUUGGCUUCAACACGAAUGCCGAGAAAUACAGAUGUCGACCUACUCCGUCGCCGACAGCACUGCCAGUAUCCUGCUAACUACAUGGAACAACAUGGACCUCACUAUAAACAGCUGGUACACCCUCUCACCUGUCACUGUUAAGGACUACAACAACACCAUCACUGUCAGCACAUCACCAUCCACCGCAGCAGAGACCAUCAAUCGACCCCCCAGACAUGGUGUAGCUGCACCAGUAACAGACAAUUCAGAAGAAGUCACUGGACUCAUCAUUGGAGCCAUGACUACAUCAACAAUCACCUGUCCCAAAAGGCACCCUCUUCCCAACUGUCCUCCUGGUGCACCUUUCCACAUGUGCCCUACAUGUAACCAACAUUUCAUUACAGCUAAGCUCCGCCACCAAUGGAAUGUUACCCUCACAUUGGAGAUAAAUGACACCACUAUAAGAGAAUUUAAGAUGGAUCAUACAGUCGUCCUAAACACCGCACCAAAGCACAUCUACCUGGACACAGACCCAAUCACAGUCACUGCACAUUUCCUGUCCAUUGGUUUAGUAACUGUGCGUGUCAAAGAUGAUGCUGUUUCUGCACUACACCCCUGCACAGCUUCUGCAUCUGUCCAACAAGAUACAGACAUCGCUGAUGAGACCCUCUUGACUUUUUUGGACGAAACGCUUUCUACCAGUGACGUCUAAAUCAACACAACACAUAGUUCUGACAACUUAUUGCAUUACACUCACCAAAACAUACAUCUUCACAUACAACACUUGUCAUAAACAUACCCUUAACAUUUCAUAAUCCUAUUGUUUCACAGUUGUUAUCUUAAUAAUCUUCAUAAUUGUUAUACUUGUAAAUGUUUUUAUUUGAUUUUCAAUUGCACAGUAAAUCAGUAAAUCAGAUGAUGUAAAUAUUUUGCCUUCUUACUAUUGUCAAACACAUUAAUUUUACUCUCACUUUAAAUGUGUUUUCAAUGUAAAACUUAAAAUGUGUAAAAACACUUAUUGUUCAACAUACAUUCUUUUACUUAUCUUCAUUGUACUUAUACAUUUGUCUUUAACUUGUAUUUUUUCAUUUGUAGUAAAUUCUUUGCUUAUUGUAAAAAAUUACAAAAGGUUACAAUAACAAAUAGUCAACCACCCAGCAUUCACAUACAUUUCCAACACAACAUUGACAUGGACAUAUCACCACAUGUAACUACACUGACUCCAAUUGAUUUAAAAUUCAGUACGUAUGUUUAUGUAAGACACAUAUGUAAUUAUUCUACUUUGACACCACAAUAGCUAUGAAAAUAAGACUGAAUGCAAUUAUGAAGCAACUUUGUACAUAUACAAUUUUUCUUGAUGUUUGUUUAUAAUUGGAAUAUCAUAGUAUGCAAAACAAUUUGUUCCAAUCAAGUAGGUUUACUUUUAUUGGACAAGAAGCCUUCCAUGAGUGGUGACAUUUGACAACCUCAGACAGUCUGCCACUGGGCCAAAUGAAAAGGCUCUUGUCUUUAUUUGCAAUGCACCUAGACCAUAAGAGGCAAGCUGGGGCCUCUUGUACUGUUAGAAAGGCCAGUUACAUUAAACAUUAUUGCUGUCAUAUACCAUAUUCCUUUGAUUAAACGCUGCAGUGUUUAUUACACAAUGCUCAUUUGUGGUGCACAUUUAUUCAAGGGUAAUGUUCAUUCAAGGGCAACGUUUAAUUGGUAAAAGA
rnacentral:lncRNA from 1 species